rnacentral:rRNA from 1 species
CAUGUGUAGCGGUGAAAUGCGUAGAUAUAUGGAGGAACACCGGUGGCGAAAGCGGCUCUCUGGUCUGUCACUGACGCUGAGGCUNGAAAGCGUGGGUAGCGAACAGGAUUAGAUACCCUGGUAGUNCACGCCGUAAACGCUGAGUGCUAGGUGUUAGGUCCUUUCCGGGACUUAGUGCCGACGCUAACGCAUUAAGCACUCCGCCUGGGGAGUACGACCGCAAGGUUGAAACUCAAAGGAAUUGACGGGGGCCCGCACAAGCGGUGGAGCAUGUGGUUUAAUUCGAAGCAACGCGAAGAACCUUACCAGGUCUUGACAUCCCGAUGCCCGCUCUAGAGAUAGAGUUUUUCUUCGGAACAUCGGAGACAGGUGGUGCAUGGUUGUCGUCAGCUCGUGUCGUGAGAUGUUGGGUUUAGUCCCGCAACGAGCGCAACCCUUAUUGUUAGUUGCCAUCAUUAAGUUGGGCACUCUAGCGAGACUGCCGGUAAUAAACCGGAGGAAGGUGGGGAUGACGUCAAAUCAUCAUGCCCCUUAUGACCUGGGCUACACACGUGCUACAAUGGUUGGUCCAACGAGUCGCAAGCCGGUGACGGCAAGCUAAUCUCUGAAAGCCAAUCUCAGUUCGGAUUGUAGGCUGCAACUCGCCUACAUGAAGUCGGAAUCGCUAGUAAUCGCGGAUCAGCACGCCGCGGUGAAUACGUUCCCGGGCCUUGUACACACCGCCCGUCACACCACGAGAGUUUGUAACACCCAAAGUCGGUGAGGUAACCAUUUAUGGGGCCAGCCGCCUAAGGUGGGANGGAUGA